AUGUUUGACUAUGUAGUUGCUCGGCAUGUGUGGGUAUUUGUAUCCGACUUCUUUGAGAUUGAUAGAAUUGCUAAUUUUGACGACAUCUUUGCUUUCUGUCGAGUACAUAAAAAAAAGCCUGUGCUUAACAUGGUUAUUGCUGCUUCCUUGUGGAGCUUGUGGAGACUAAGAAACAGUUUCUGUUUUCAGGGUCAGAAAUGGAGAAACAUGAACUGCAUUCUUGCAAGAUUAAGCUGUUAUUUGCACUAG
rnacentral:rRNA from 1 species